AUUGAACGCUGGCGGCAUGCUUUACACAUGCAAGUCGAACGGUAACAGGCCGCAAGGUGCUGACGAGUGGCGAACGGGUGAGUAAUGCAUCGGAACGUGCCCAGUCGUGGGGGAUAACUACUCGAAAGAGUAGCUAAUACCGCAUACGAUCUAUGGAUGACAGCGGGGGACCGUAAGGCCUCGCGCGAUUUGAGCGGCCGAUGUCAGAUUAGGUAGUUGGUGGGGUAAAGGCUCACCAAGCCAACGAUCUGUAGCUGGUCUGAGAGGACGACCAGCCACACUGGGACUGAGACACGGCCCAGACUCCUACGGGAGGCAGCAGUGGGGAAUUUUGGACAAUGGGCGCAAGCCUGAUCCAGCAAUGCCGCGUGCAGGAAGAAGGCCUUCGGGUUGUAAACUGCUUUUGUACGGAAAGAAACGGCUCUGGUUAAUACCCGGGGCUAAUGACGGUACCGUAAGAAUAAGCACCGGCUAACUACGUG
rnacentral:rRNA from 1 species